rnacentral:hammerhead_ribozyme from 1 species
AUCCAGCCGACGAGUUCUAAAUAGGACGAAACACGUGUCAUACUGGAU